rnacentral:lncRNA from 1 species
AUGCCACCCCUGGCGUCACACACACAGGGAGGGACGCGCGGGCACGGGCUGUGCUGCUCUCAGCUGCGGCACUGUUCCUAUUGCCCGAAGUACAGCAGUGGAGACUUGUGGGGAGUUCGGGUAGCAAGGCCUCCACCAGGUCUCUGGCGGCUUAGCAGGGAGUGGAUGCGCUUGGCAGAGACUCAGCCGUGCGCUGAUGAGCAGCUCUGCCCGGUGUCUCAUUCCCACCGUCUCCUCCCUGCAGCCCCUCUCCCACAGCUCCCCCAGCCCAGAAGCCUUCCCACUCCCUCCUCCUGCGCAUUUCCCACCAAGCCCUUGUGCCCUCCAGACCCAGGCCUGGAAGCUGGAGGGGAGUCUGAGGUGCUGAAGCCACACACACAGACAUGUGCACACAUGUGCACAGAGACACACGCACAGAGACACAUGCACGAACACAUACAUACGCAUACACACGCACGAAUCAACAUGUGCAGACACAUGAAAACACAAUGCACAGACAUACAGAUACACAUGGACACGCAUAUACACACAGACAUGUACACACACACACACAGCAAAGGGAAGGCUACGAGACUGCAGGACGUCUGCCUCUCUCCAUGGGCUCAGGGGUUGUGGGAAGCUGUGCCAGGGCCUGGUGGGGACAGCCUGCCCCAGCAGGAGCUGCGGCUUCAACAUGGAGCCCUUCCGUGUGUCCUGCACGUGUCCUUGAUAAGUGGGCUCAACCCUCAGAGCAGCACACACGGAAAGCCUGGGGAUGCCAUCCUGCGCCAGGGCCCGAGCACGCCGGGCCAGCUCUUGGCAGCCACGGAGCUAACCCCACAUGCAGCCAUGUGCUUCCCUCCCCUGCACACAGUGAGGGCCACCCCCAAGGACAGGUUUGCAGAAGGGGUGUCCCCACAGGCCACUGCGUGGGAGUGCCUGACGGGCCUCUUGUGCUCCAAAGUCAACGGGGCUUGUGUUCUUUGUAAAUUUUGGUUUGCUUUAUCACAUGACCGCUGGAAUGAACUCUGCCUUGUAUUAUACCGCAUGGUGUUUGAUUGGCAAAGAGAGAGCAGAGAGAACAAGCUCUUCCCAAAUGCCCAGGAGCCAGGGACUCACCCCAGGUCUCCCACAGGAAUGAUAGGGACCCGACUCCCUGAGCCAUCACCUGCCACUCCCAGGCUGUGCAAGGUCUCCCACAGGAAUGAAAGGGACCCAACUCCCUGA